CUGCAGCUCAAGUGGUGACCACUAUUAUUGGGCCUAAAACGUUCGUAGCCGGUUUGGUAAAUGCCUGGGUAAAUCGUGUAGCUUAACUAUACGAAUUCCGGGUAGACUGCCAAACUUGAGACCGGGAGAAGCUAGAGGUACUCCUGGGGUAGAGGUGAAAUUCUGUAAUCCUGGGGGGACCACCAGUGGCGAAGGCGUCUAGCUAGAACGGGUCUGACGGUGAGGAACGAAGCCCUGGGGCGCAAACCGGAUUAGAUACCCGUGUAGUCC
rnacentral:rRNA from 1 species